GGCAGAAUGGCCGAGUGGUCUAUGGCGACGGUUUCAAGCGCAUCAAAUGUGUACUUUCAACUGCGAAAAGCAGAGAAUAGUCCGUUCACGAAAGUGGCAGGGGUUCGAAUCCCCUUUCUGUCA